AGCAGCCGCGGUAAUUCCAGCUCCAAUAGCGUAUAUUAAAGUUGUUGCAGUUAAAAGCUCGUAGUUGAAUUUCGGGAUCAAUAUGUUGGUCGUGCCUCGGUACGUACUAGCUUAUUGGUUUCUCCUUUCUGAAGAACCAUGAUGUCAUUUAUUUGGUGUCGUGGGGAAUCAGGACUGUUACUUUGAAGAAAUUAGAGUGUUUAAAGCAGGCUCACGCUUGAAUACAUUAGCAUGGAAUAAUGAAAUAGGACGUUUGAUUCUAUUUUGUUGGUUUCUAGGAUCGACGUAAUGAUUAAUAGGGAUAGUUGGGGGCAUUAGUAUUCAAUUGUCAGAGGUGAAAUUCUUGGAUUUAUUGAAGACUAACUACUGCGAAAGCAUUUGCCAAGGAUGUUUUCAUUAAUCAAGAACGAAAGUUAGGGGAUCGAAGACGAUCAGAUACCGUCGUAGUCUUAACCAUAAACUAUGCCGACUAGGGAUCGGAUGAUGUUAAUUUUUAAUGUA
rnacentral:misc_RNA from 1 species